UGAACAAUUUCCAUUAUUUUCAGUAUUGUGCUGUUUUAUACCUCCAAAUUUCUAAGAACUUAAUAGAAGAUAACUUUUGAUGUUCUACCACCAAUAUCCAAACACUUAGCGAAUUUCAUUUUCCACUUGUGAAGCCCAUAUCUGUAUGUAUCAAAUAUGUCAACAUCUGCCCUUAAUAUACUAUAUCAUCCUUACUCAAAUAAGAAACGGCAAUAUAGUUGAUAUUUUGUGUCAGAUAGAUAGUCAUCACCUUGUUAGGUUAUUGAGUUUUUCUCUUCCGUGGGUGCCUGGUUGGUUUGCUCAACAUAUGCGUAAUGGUUGUUGAUGUAUCCAGGAGAUAAAUGUCGUUUUAUUGCUGACUACCUGUUUUCUGGAUUAUUUGAAGAUGCUGACUUACGCUUGACUGCAUUUUGCAGCUUAAUCAGGAAACAUGUGCAUGGCUAUUUUUUCUGUCAGCCUUUUUCUAAUGCUUAUAUUAUCACAUUCCAAACCUCUCGUCCCUCUUCGUGUCGCCCCUGCCUCUGAUCCCUCGACACGGGAGGCGCCAACCCUAGCCGCCAGCGCCCCGAUGACUCCCCUCCCCCCUCCGUCGCCGCCUAGGGUCGGCGCCGGCAAAGCCCGUGCAUUGACAGGUAGCGGCCGAGGGCUGCUCCUCCUCUCGGAUCGAACGGCGGCAAUGGCGCUGGAUCCGCGGGACGUGGCCUCUCCCUUGGUCCACGGCGGCGCGACGGCGGCGCUUGUGGUGGCGCGGGUGGAGAUCGGCAGAUGAUGGGGGUGGGGCUGGGCGUGGCCGGUAGCGGCGGCGAGGUCCGGCCUGGAUCCCAGGGCGGCGGCCCUAGUCGGUGGUGGAGAGUGAAGCUCAGGCAGCCCGCGGCGGCAUGGCGUGGUGGUGCCCCUGUCCAAGCGGAAAUGCGUCGGCGAUCUGGUGCUCCGGAUUGGAUUAAGAUAAGUGAUGGUGACGAGCAAAAGCGGGAUCUUUCCUGGCGGCUCACGCGGUUGGGCGAAGUGGGGUGGCGGCCCUCCUCCCAGGCUCCAGUGGUGGUGCACUCCGGUAGUGGCCGGUGCGCCAGGGCUCCCACGGCGGGAGUGUUGUUGUGGGUGGUCGCCGGAUCUGGGCGGCCUGAUCUGCGGCUUUGAAGGUGGUCUGGCCGGUGCACAUGGAUUCUCAUGGGACAGAUCCAGGUGAAAACCGUCUUCGGCUGGUGGCCGGAGCCGGUGACAGAGACGCCCCAGGCGCCGUUUCCUUCUUGAAGGCAUCAUCGAGUGUCGUUCCCUCGUUGGGGGCAUCAUUCUUGUAGGGGUUCAUCGGCUGGAGGGACCAGUGGACGACUACAACGGUGGAGCGGUGUGGCAUCUAACAACCCGACAACGGCGGGUCUCGGUGAUGGUCGCGUGUUGAUGGACGCGCGCAGGAUGGUGGCGCUGUCUGGCGUUGUGGUGGCUUCGACGGCAGUUGGGCUUGGCAAGGCAUAUGCAUUGAUCUGUCCUGAAGAUGGGACGGCGGAAGAUGACGGCGGCGGACUUUUCCGUGUGUGUUGAGGGUCUGCUACACCGGUUGGUGCUCUCGGCUCAAGGCAGUCUAGGGUGGCCACCGGAUUAGAUGGUGGGCCUGGAUGCGCCAGGGCACUCCAUGAGACUUGUAGGUGUAGCGGUUGAGGUCGGAAGGAAGGUGGCUUUGGGUUGAUCCAUGUAUCUACUUUGUCGGACUCUGUUGAAUAAUUAAUAAAGAUGGCUGUAUGCAUCGCUUGAUGCAGAGGCCGGGGGUAAGCCUCCUUUUCGAAGUAAAAAAACAUGCCGAUGUAUUGUAGUUUGAGUUUAGCCUAGAUUUUGUUAAGAUCACUACAGAAUUUUAGAGCUACGACAGAGGGAGAGACAUUGGGAAAGCUAGUAAGGAAAAGAAACGUGCCUCUUUGGCCAUUCCAAAGCUUUGCUUUCGGGUCUGUAUCGAACCGCUUUAUUUGUUUUGUACUACUUUUUGUUGUAAACGCUUUGCUUCAGUUCGCUAAA